rnacentral:rRNA from 1 species
UCAUUACCGAGUGCGGGCCCUCUGGGUCCAACCUCCCAUCCGUGUCUAUCUGUACCCUGUUGCUUCGGCGUGGCCACGGCCCGCCGGAGACUAACAUUUGAACGCUGUCUGAAGUUUGCAGUCUGAGUUUUUAGUUAAACAAUCGUUAAAACUUUCAACAACGGAUCUCUUGGUUCCGGCAUCGAUGAAGAACGCAGCGAAAUGCGAUAAUUAAUGUGAAUUGCAGAAUUCAGUGAAUCAUCGAGUCUUUGAACGCACAUUGCGCCCCCUGGUAUUCCGGGGGGCAUGCCUGUCCGAGCGUCAUUGCUGCCCUCAAGCACGGCUUGUGUGUUGGGCUUCCGUCCCUGGCAACGGGGACGGGCCCAAAAGGCAGUGGCGGCACCAUGUCUGGUCCUCGAGCGUAUGGGGCUUUGUCACCCGCUCCCGUAGGUCCAGCUGGCAGCUAGCCUCGCAACCAAUCUUUUUAACCAGGUUGACCUCGGAUCAGGUAGGGAUACCCGCUGAACUUAAGCAUAU